rnacentral:lncRNA from 1 species
CAGGAAUCUAGCAGUGACUAAAACAAGCCAAAUCUCCUGCCCUCAGGGAGCAAGGAACCGAAUCAGAGUUCUGAGUAAUGGGAUUUCAGCUGAGUCACCAGACUGGGUUUGGCCAUGCUGGGGAUUGAACCCAAGGGCUUCUAGCAUGCUAGGGACCUCAGGGCAGUGCUGAGUUUACCAGGAAGGUAUUACCAAGCAGGAAGUUUGAUGUCCUGGAGGCACCUGACAGCUCUCAUGAACCCAGAGCAGUAUGGAAGACUUGGAGGAGCAGGACCAUUUGGACGCACGAUGUUGACCUGUCCUGGAGCACUUCCUGGAGUCUGCCAGACCACUGUCUUGAUUGGCUCAGAACAUAGGCUGAUGUGGGCCACACCCAGCCUUCUUCCCUUCCACGUCCCUCCAGUGUGGGUUGCUCAGUGGAUCAGGCUUAUCUUUGUGACCCUUGAUGUCUUGGGUUCACAGCCAAUGAAGUGUCCUGGCCAUGUGGCCCUGCACCAGGAUCCUGGCCCAGUGGUCAGGCCCAGUGGUUCCCAUGGCAAUGCCCUACCCUUGGACUGUCUCAUGGGCCCCACAAGCCACUGGAAUGUCUCAAAAAUACCACCCUUCAGGCAACCAUCCAAACCGCCUCUCACAGACGGCAGCUCUCAAUUCCAGCAACAGGAAAAUCCUUUCAGAGCGUGUCCUGAUUUUCAGCUUGGAAAACAGAUGGCCACCAUUGCAAAAGCUCGCCAUCCGCCCUCUUAUAUCCUCUUCCCCCACCCCUCUCUCUCCAAUAGCAAUGCUGUGGUUACAAACCUCAGGCAGAAUCUGAGCUCAGAUUCCAGUGUCUCCAUCUCUUCCCAGUCCUCCUAGCCUGUACAGCUCCUGUGGCCCUGGCCUUGUCAUCCUUCGUGGCGAUGCCAGUCAGCCACCUGCAGCUCUUGGGACAGAC